rnacentral:rRNA from 1 species
AGCAGUCGCCGCGGGAAUACGUAGGGUGCAAGCGUUAAUCGGAAUUACUGGGCGUAAAGCGUGCGCAGGCGGUGUUGUAAGACUGAUGUGAAAUCCCCGGGCUCAACCUGGGAACUGCAUUGGUGACUGCAACGCUGGAGUGCGGCAGAGGGGGAUGGAAUUCCGCGUGUAGCAGUGAAAUGCGUAGAUAUGCGGGGGAACACCGAUGGCGAAGGCAAUCCCCUGGGCCUGCACUGACGCUCAUGCACGAAAGCGUGGGGAGCAAACAGGAUUAGAUACCCCGGUAGUCCCUGUCUCUUAUAC